UACGUAGGGUGCAAGCGUUGUCCGGAAUUAUUGGGCGUAAAGAGCUCGUAGGCGGUCUGUCGCGUCGGCUGUGAAAUCCCGGAGCUCAACUCCGGGUCUGCAGUCGAUACGGGCAAACUGGAGUACUGCAGGGGAGACUGGAAUUCCUGGUGUAGCGGUGAAAUGCGCAGAUAUCAGGAGGAACACCGGUGGCGAAGGCGGGUCUCUGGGCAGUAACUGACGCUGAGGAGCGAAAGCCAGGGGAGCGAACGGG
rnacentral:rRNA from 1 species